CAUGUUUAAGCGGGACGGGAGAAAGCCCAAGCCGCUGUACAAGUUGGGUUGAGAAAGAGAGCAGCGUAUAUUCGAGAAUAGACCGAACGGACAGAAGUGUGUUCGGCCAGUAUGAAUGGGGACACACCGAUCGUGGCGCCGCGCCGCGACAGAAGUGGCGACGGAGUGGCGACCAUCAAACAUGGCGUUAAAAAGGAGGCGCCAUAUUGGCCCUGUACUGGAAGAAGGAUCGAUGCGUCCCCCGAGAGUUUAUACAAGCGUUAACUGGAUCAAAAACUUAAUGAUAGACAUCUUUCUUGCAAGGAUAAAAAAUUCACUACUUCAGUGUCAAAGGAGAUCGUUGGACGGUAACACCAAGUGUAUUGAGCCUACAUGUACUGCUUUGGAUUGGUAGGAGCUAGUAAAAGAAAUCACAGGGAAUUCAUCGGAAAUUCAAGAAAAAAAAUGUGCUUGCAAUAAGAAAGAUGGGCAUUAGAGUUGAGGACAUUAGAAUCGAGGGAAAUCUCCAUUCUUAUUCUUUCGUGAUGUAUGGUGGGAAAUUUUCCAAUUUUGUAUGUACAAAACUAUUUUGAACUAUUAAUAAAGGUAACUAGAUUGGUAUAAGCAGUUGUAAUAUAAAUGUAUCGUAAUGUUAUCGUCAUUCUUUAAAAAACUAUUGAAUGAAAAAAAAAACAGCAGAAUGUAUUGUUUACAUAUAUUAUGAACCUAUAUCGUAUUUAUUCUAAUAACGAUGAUGAUUGGUCAAAUCAAUGGCAGUUAGUUUGAUAAUAAUGUGGACAAAUUUGACAAAGCAAAUCAUAGACGGCUUCCAUUUUUAAGAAGUGGAGAUCAGCAGGAACGGCAUUAUGAUACUAAAACUGGCAACGCUGUCGAUUCCUCGUUCUCCAGAGAAACCAUGACUGUGUCUAUUAUAUAGGGUAUAGAGCUCCCUUGUAUACACACUUGUUAUCAAAAUGAAAAGUAAUCUUGAAAGUAUAGGCUUGAAUGUUAGUAUGGAUCAUUAUACACACAACUAACAUAAUGAACUACCGAGUUGUCUCCGGUGCCCUCGUAGUCUCACGACAAAGAUGUAGGCCUCAUUUCAUUUACUUAAUAUGUUUAUUAUUAAUAUUUACAUUGUUACAGCAUGUUAUUUUAUCAAUCAGCUCUGUGUCCAUUACAGUUUAAUUUAAAUGGUAAAUUCCUU
rnacentral:lncRNA from 1 species